GAGACAGCAGUAGCCGCGGUAAUACAGAGGGUGCGAGCGUUAAUCGGAUUUACUGGGCGUAAAGCGUGCGUAGGCGGCUUCUUAAGUCGGAUGUGAAAUCCCUGAGCUUAACUUAGGAAUUGCAUUCGAUACUGGGAAGCUAGAGUAUGGGAGAGGAUGGUAGAAUUCCAGGUGUAGCGGUGAAAUGCGUAGAGAUCUGGAGGAAUACCGAUGGCGAAGGCAGCCAUCUGGCCUAAUACUGACGCUGAGGUACGAAAGCAUGGGGAGCAAACAGGAUUAGAUACCCCUGUAGUCCUGUCUCUUAUAAA
rnacentral:rRNA from 1 species